GAUGAACGCUGGCGGCGUGCCUAAUACAUGCAAGUCGAGCGAACGGACGAGAAGCUUGUUCCUCUGAUGUUAGCGGCGGACGGGUGAGUAACACGUGGAUAACCUGCCUAUAAGACUGGGAUAACUUCGGGAAACGGGAGCUAAUACCGGAUAAAAUUUUUAAACACAUGGUUCAAAAGUGAAAGAUGGUCUUGCAGUACCUUAUAAAUGGACCCGGGCUGCUUUAGCAGUUUGGUAAGGUAACGGCUAACAAAGGCAAGGAUGCAAAGCCGACCGGGGAGGGUGAUCGGCCACACUGGACCGGAGACACGCCCCAGACUCCUACGGGGGGCAGCAGUAGGGAAUCUUCCGCAAGGGGCGAAAUCUUGACGGAGCAACGCCGCGUGGUUGAUGAGGUUCUUCGGAUCUUAAAACUCUGUUAUUAGGGAAGAACAUAUUUGUAAUGAACUGUGCACAUCUUGACGGUACCUAAUCAGAAAGCCACGGCUAACUACGUG
rnacentral:rRNA from 1 species